rnacentral:lncRNA from 1 species
GGCAAGCAGAGCUGCCCCGUCAUCUUCGGCUCUGUGCAGGGCUACGAGCAGAAGCUGCUGGUGUCCACCGAGGAAGGCAAUGAGAACUCCCGGGCCAACCCGGAGGAGGUAACAGAGGUGGUAAGUGUCAGAGCGACUCCAUGGUGUUUGGUGGGUCGGUGAAGGACUCCUGGUGGAGGGUGAAGGCCAAGGAAAGCUUCAGUGGGCCAGAAGGCUGGGUCGAGUGAGGCCCCUGAGCUCAGGACAGAAGAGGGACUGGGUGGGUUCCAGCUCCGUCUGCCCUCUUACCUACUUAGGUCCGAAUCAUCAAGCAGUUGACCCUGGACCGGACAGUGGAUCCCAAAGAUGUCGCGGUCCUUACACCUUACAAUGCACAGGCUGCAGCAAUCAGCAGGGGCCUCAUGCAAAGAGGGGUCACUGGAGUGACUGUGACCUCUAUCACCAAGAGCCAGGGUGAGGCUAGCUCUAAGGAGGCCAUAUUUGUGUGGUGGUCAGCAGGGGGGCGGGCAGUGGGCGUAGAGCUGUGAAUUCAUCUAAUAUCCCCUCUCUGCCUUCCAGGGAGUGAGUGGCGCUAUGUGAUAGUGAGCACGGUUCGAACAUGCCCCAGAAGUGAUAUGGACCAGCGGCCAACCAAGAGCUGGCUCAAGAAGUUUCUGGGCUUUGUUGUGGACCCCCACCAAGUAAACGUGGCCAUCACCCGGGCCCAGGAGGGGCUGUGCAUCAUUGGUGAGG